GACGAACGCUGGCGGCGUGCCUAAUACAUGCAAGUCGAGCGAGCUUGCCUAGAUGAUUUUAGUGCUUGCACUAAAUGAAACUAGAUACAAGCGAGCGGCGGACGGGUGAGUAACACGUGGGUAACCUGCCCAAGAGACUGGGAUAACGUUCUGAAAAGAACGCUAAUACCGCAUGACAUUCCUUUCUCGCAUGGGGAGGGAAUCAAAGGAGCAAUCCGCUGAGAGAUGGACUCGCGUCCGAUUAGCCAGUUGGCGGGGUAAUGGCCCACCAAAGCGACGAUCGGUAGCCGGACUGAGAGGUUGAACGGCCACAUUGGGACUGAGACACGGCCCAG
rnacentral:rRNA from 1 species